ACUCAAAUGAAUAGACGGGGGCCCGCACAAGCGGUGGAUCAUGUGGUUUAAUUCGAAGCAACGCGAAAAACCUUACCUGGGUUUGACAUCCUCUGACAUCCGUAGAGAUACGGCUUCUGUAGCAAUACAGCAGAGUGACAGGUGCUGCAUGGCUGUCGUCAGCUCGUGUGGUGACAUGUUGGGUUAAGUCCCGCAACGAGCGCAACCCUUGUCUUUAGUUGCCAGCAUUCAGUUGGGCACUCUAAAGAGACUGCCGUGGUUAACACGGAGGAAGGUGGGGAUGACGUCAAGUCCUCAUGGCCUUUAUAUCCAGGGCGACACACGUGAUACAAUGGACGGUACAGAGGGAAGCGAAGGGGUGACCUGGAGCCAAUCUCAAAAAGCCGUUCUCAGUUCGGAUUGGAGUCUGCAACUCGACUCCAUGAAGUUGGAAUCGCUAGUAAUCGCGGAUCAGCACGCCGCGGUGAAUACGUUCCCGGGCCUUGUACACACCGCCCGU
rnacentral:rRNA from 1 species